AUGACGAUCCGCCUUCCUCUUCAACUCCGACGGUUCCGCCGCCGAUCUACCUCUAUCGUUCAUUCUUCUAACUCACCCAAUCCAACUUUCGACGCUGAUUCAACACUCGCGGUUCUUCCUCUGCCUUCAAGCCGGUUCAAUGAUAAACAGAAGCAUGUUCAAGCAAUCAAUGGACGAAUUAACAUCAUAGGAUCGAUAAAUUUUUCAAGAAAAUAA
rnacentral:lncRNA from 1 species